UGAUUAACGACAAUGGGUGUUUAAAACACCCACUACGAAAGACCAAGGUUUCCUGCGCAACGUUAAACGCCUCUGGGUUAGUCGGUCCCUAAGGCGAGGCCGAAAGGCGUAGUCGAUGGGAAACAGGUUAAUAUUCCUGUACUUGGUGUUACUGCGAAGGGGGGACGGAGAAGGCUAGGCCAGCUUGGCGUUGGUUGUCCAAGUUUAAGGUGGUAGGCUGAGAUCUUAGGUAAAUCCGGGAUCUUAAGGCCGAGAGCUGAUGACGAGUUACCUUUUAGGUAACGAAGUGGUUGAUGCCAUGCUUCCAAGAAAAGCUUCUAAGCUUCAGGUAACCAGGAACCGUACCCCAAACCGACACAGGUGGUUGGGUAGAGAAUACCAAGGCGCUUGAGAGAACUCGGGUGAAGGAACUAGGCAAAAUGGCACCGUAACUU
rnacentral:rRNA from 1 species